AGACCUUAACCUGCUAAAUAGCCCGUAUUGCUUUGGCAGUACGCUGGCUUCUUAGAGGGACUAUCGGCUCAAGCCGAUGGAAGUUUGAGGCAAUAACAGGUCUGUGAUGCCCUUAGAUGUUCUGGGCCGCACGCGCGUUACACUGACAGAGCCAGCG
rnacentral:rRNA from 1 species